rnacentral:rRNA from 1 species
AGUCGAGGGGCAGCAUAAAAGAAGCUUGCUUCUUUGGUGGCGACCGGCGCACGGGUGCGUAACGCGUAUGCAACCUACCCUGUACUGGGGGAUAUCCCGGAGAAAUUCGGACUAACACCCCAUAGUGUAAUUGGAUGGCAUCAUUUGAUUAUUAAAGGUUACGGUACAGGAUGGGCAUGCGUCCCAUUAGCUAGAUGGUAAGGUAACGGCUUACCAUGGCUACGAUGGGUAGGGGGCCUGAGAGGGUGAUCCCCCACACUGGUACUGAGACACGGACCAGACUCCUACGGGAGGCAGCAGUGAGGAAUAUUGGUCAAUGGGCGCAAGCCUGAACCAGCCAUGCCGCGUGCAGGAAGACGGUCCUAUGGAUUGUAAACUGCUUUUAUUGGGGAAUAAACCUUUCUACGUGUAGGAAGCUGAAGGUACCCAAAGAAUAAGCACCGGCUAACUCCGUGCCAGCAGCCGCGGUAAUACGGAGGGUGCAAGCGUUAUCCGGAAUCAUUGGGUUUAAAGGGUCCGCAGGCGGGACUGUAAGUCAGUGGUGAAAUCCGGCAGCUCAACUGUCGCACUGCCAUUGAUACUGCAGUCCUUGAAUUUGAUGGGAGUGGGCGGAAUAUGUCAUGUAGCGGUGAAAUGCUUAGAUAUGACAUAGAACACCGAUAGCGAAGGCAGCUCACUAUGUCUGAAUUGACGCUCAUGGACGAAAGCGCGGGUAGCAAACAGGAUUAGAUACCCUGGUAGUCCGCGCCGUANACGAUGAUUACUCG